rfam:Salmo salar isolate Sally breed double haploid chromosome ssa15, whole genome shotgun sequence.
UGCACUCACUACUGUAAGUCGCUCUGGAUAAGAGCACCUGCUAAAUGACUAAAA